rnacentral:lncRNA from 1 species
GGCUCACAAGGCCCCGCCCCCACAGCGGCCCUGCCCCACCUUUCAUUCAUUGAUAGCUUCGAGAAACUUUCAGGUUUCCUCACUGUGAAUUAUGAAUAUGAACUAUAUUAAAAUUACUGUAACCCAAUGUGCUUCAUGCACUAUCUGGCAUCCAAAGGAUCCUCUUUCGCCCAUGUUGGGGUUUUCGAAACUGGAAAGAAGACUGAUUUCUGCAGAAUCGACUCAAGGCAAGAUGCAGUAGAGAAAUGUAAGAGCCAACUAGAGGAGCCAUUUAACUACUAGGUGCAUCUUCUCCAGCAAGUUCUUCAGCAUCCUUUCCAGAAGCAUUCGACAGCCAAGGAAGCAGGCUACGCCUCACCUACUCCUUCCUGGGCUAAAGAUCUCAGACUUAGUUGCUUAAUUUGGGAAAAAUAAAUUAAAGAAGUCUUCUAUCAUUAUACGCAACAUAGAAUAA